GUGCACAUGCCACUAAGCAUGAUUCUUGGAGGCAACUUCUUGACCUUAAUGUCUCCACUUCAAAGCUUGGAGCCAAUUGAUGUUACAAGCAACAAUGGCAGUGUGGAGACGUUUCACUGCACCCAGAUGCAGAACGAGAGGCAUGGAGAGAUGUGCUGAUUCCAUUCCGUCAUCUCAGGUUCCGUGUGCGAUGCUUCAGAGAGAGAAUCUCUCUCUUUCUCCACCGCCCACGCUGCACCCCGAGAGGACGCACACGUACAGAUCAUGGCAUCGAGUCGUUGUUCCCGAGAGAUGGUAUGUCACAGGUGAUAUGCUCGUCAAGAAGACAACCUAUUGCAGACCCCGAAGAAGCUUAAACCACAAGUCUCCCUGCGCCGGAAAAGGAGAUUUGAAUGACACAGAAGCAAUGGAAGGAAGCUGUUCGUGCUAUAUUCUAUGUGGAGGUGACUGUGGAUGACUAUAUUCCGCCUGACAAGGAUGCGUUUGAGCCAUAGAACUUGCCAAUGGAUGUGAAGGAUGUGCUUCACUGUGCUCUUUUCUCUUUUGAUAUGUUCUGGUGCUAAAUUCCUUCAUCGUUUCA